rnacentral:SRP_RNA from 1 species
GCCGGGCUUGGUGACGCAAGUCUGUGACCAAGCGGGGGCACCAAAUCAAUGGAACAUUGCACAAGCCUUGAUGGUUGGGCUCGAAGGGAAUAACUUCUUGCUUGCCCGUUCCAAGCUGAGAGUUGAGCCUCGGGUCUCGGGCGAGGGAACCGCGUCAGGCUGGUUUCACAGAGCAGCAGCUACUUCUCGCUCGUGGCAGUGGAAGGAUAACGAACUGGUGCCACUUGGGUCCGCAUGACCAGAUGGGCUGUGCUAAUUGAACCAUCAUUUUU